GGAAUAUAAGAACCCGUCUCUUAACUUUUAACUAAAAAAACUAAGAACCGGCUCUUAAACAAGAGUUUUAAGAGACGGUUCUUAGUUUUUUUAGUUAAAAGUUAAGAGACGGGUUCUUAUAUUCC
rfam:Brassica napus, WGS project CCCW01000000 data, contig: 5989